GACUGCUAAUACCGCAUAAGCCCACGGAUUCGCAUGGAUCUGCGGGAAAAGGAUUUAUUCGCUUCAGGAUGGACUCGCGUCCAAUUAGCUAGUUGGUGAGGUAACGGCCCACCAAGGCGACGAUUGGUAGCCGGACUGAGAGGUUGAACGGCCACAUUGGGACUGAGACACGGCCCAGACUCCUACGGGAGGCAGCAGUGGGGGAUAUUGCACAAUGGGGGAAACCCUGAUGCAGCGACGCCGCGUGGAGGAAGAAGGUUUUCGGAUUGUAAACUCCUGUCGUUAGGGACGAUAAUGACGGUACCUAACAAGAAAGCACCGGCUAACUACGUGCCAGCAGCCGCGGUAAAACGUAGGGUGCAAGCGUUGUCCGGAAUUACUGGGUGUAAAGGGAGCGCAGGCGGACCGGCAAGUUGGAAGUGAAAACUAUGGGCUCAACCUAUAAAUUGCUUUCAAAACUGCUGGCCUUGAGUAGUGCAGAGGUAGGUGGAAUUCCCGGUGUAGCGGUGGAAUGCGUAGAUAUCGGGAGGAACACCAGUGGCGAAGGCGACCUACUGGGCACCAACUGACGCUGAGGCUCGAAAGCAUGGGUAGCAAACAGGAUUAGAUACCCUGGUAGUCCAUGCCGUAAACGAU
rnacentral:rRNA from 1 species